AAAGAUCUAAAUAGAAAUUAAAUUUUUUGUUUCAAAAAAAUUUUAUAUUUUUAUUUAGUUGUGAUAUUCUAAUCGCUUUUAUUAAUAUCUAGUAACUUUAGAAAUAAAUUUAGUUUAGAAUAAUUAGGAAAUUUUUAUUUUAAAUUUUUUCUUAACUUAUUUUUAAAUUUUUGGGGAUGAGCUCAAAAAUUAUAAUAUAAGAAUAAAUUUUCAUGUUUUUUUUAUAGGCUUAGAAUUAGCCAAUAGAAAGUGUUAUAAAAUAUAAUUAUAAGUUUUAGAUUUUUUUUUCUUUCAUUAUUAUAAAGUUAAUUAAAAAAUUUUUUUUAUAUAGAAAAUAUGAUAACAUUAGUAGAUAAUUUUAUAAAGAAUUUUUUUUAAAUAUCUCUUUAAAAUUUUUAUAAGUAAUUGUAACAAAAGAACUCGGCAAAAAAAUUUCCGAAUGUUUAACAAAAACAUUUCCUCUUAGAAUAAGAGGUAAGGCCUGCUCACUGAGUUUUUAAAGAGCCGCAGUAUCCUAACUGUGCUAAGGUAGCAUAAUCAUUAGUCUUUUAAUUGGAGACUGGUAUGAAUGGCUUAACGAGAAAUUAACUUUUUUUGUUAUAAAUAUUGAAUUUAAUUUUUUAGUGAAAAAGCUAAAAUUUUUCAGAAAGACGAGAAGACCCUAUAGAGUUUUAUGUUUUUAUUUAUUUUGUUAUAUCGGAUUUUUAUUAAUAAAGUAUUAUAAAACAUUUUGUUGGGGCGACAUUUAGAUAAGAAAAACUCUUUAUUUUAAAAAUUUUUAUAAAAAUAUAGCUUGAUCCUUUAUAAAAGAUCAAAAGAAAAAAUUACCUUAGGGAUAACAGCGUAAUCUUUUUUGAGAGUUCUAAUCGACAAAAAGGUUUGCGACCU
rnacentral:rRNA from 1 species